GGCCUGCAGCUUGAAGUCAAGGAAAGAGAGAAUCUUUGAAAUGUUGGGAAAUGACUGAGUGACAUGAUUGACUACAAGAAGGAAUUCAUUCCUAAUAUUUCUUACUCCUGACAUAUAGACCACCAAUUUGGGCAAAUACAGAAUAUGAGGUGUAGCUGAUAAUAGCAAUCUGGAUGAAAUAGUGAAGAAUUCAGGCCAGUGUGAAGAACUUCAUUGGCAACUCUUGACAGAUCUGAGGAGUGAGGAAAAUAAACUUUGAGAGCCUGAGAAGACCUGAGCUACAGGAGACACAACACAGAGACCGACCGCGAUGUAACCUUUGAGAAAGGGUUGUCUAAACACUCUGAGACUUGGAUCCAGCAUGGAGGGUAUCCAGAGUAUAAGUACCUCAAUAUCCUCUCCUCCCACACCCUAACCUCCAGCCAGGACUACCACUAGAGAGGCCCAAAGAGACUGUGGA